rnacentral:lncRNA from 1 species
UAGAAGUCAGGUCGGAUUAAGCCAUAGUACGGAAAAAACUAUGCUACCUGUGAGCCCCGUCCAAGGACGUUAAAAGAAGUCAGGCCAUCAUAAAUGCCAUAGCUUGAGCMAACUAUGCUGCCUGUAGCUCCACCUGAGAAGGUGUAAAAAAUCUGGGAGGCCACAAACCAUGGAAGCUGUACGCAUGG